UCAGCAACCUCAAAUGUUCCAAAAACAGCGGUACUGGAUAUUUAUGAAAAUAACCAGUACAAAGGAGAGAUCGUACCUUUGAAUAAGAUGCAAUUGAGUUGUGCACAUCUUUGAUGGCAAGUAGAACAUUAUUACGGAUGCACAAUCGGCGUUGGCUUUCUAUACCUUCUUCCCGUAGAGUAUCGCCAUGGCAAUUUAAGGCAUAGAACAACUUGGUCCUGGCAGCUUCUUUGUUACACAAGUACCAAAAGG
rnacentral:lncRNA from 1 species